rnacentral:rRNA from 1 species
GAUGAACGCUGGCGGCGUGCCUAAUACAUGCAAGUCGAGCGAACAGACGAGGAGCUUGCUCCUCUGAUGUUAGCGGCGGACGGGUGAGUAACACGUGGAUAACCUACCUAUAAGACUGGGAUAACUUCGGGAAACCGGAGCUAAUACCGGAUAACAUGUUGAACCGCAUGGUUCAACAGUGAAAGACGGUCUUGCUGUCACUUAUAGAUGGAUCCGCGCCGCAUUAGCUAGUUGGUAAGGUAACGGCUUACCAAGGCAACGAUGCGUAGCCGACCUGAGAGGGUGAUCGGCCAUACUGGAACUGAGACACGGUCCAGACUCCUACGGGAGGCAGCAGUAGGGAAUCUUCCGCAAUGGGCGAAAGCCUGACGGAGCAACGCCGCGUGAGUGAAGAAGGUCUUCGGAUCGUAAAACUCUGUUAUUAGGGAAGAACAAAUGUGUAAGUAACUAUGCACGUCUUGACGGUACCUAAUCAGAAAGCCACGGCUAACUACGUG